UUCGGGGUGAGCGGCGGACGGGUGAGUAACGCGUGGGAAUAUGCCCUUCUCUAAGGAAUAGCCUCUGGAAACGGAGAGUAAUACCUUAUACGCCCUUCGGGGGAAAGAUUUAUCGGAGAAGGAUUAGCCCGCGUUAGAUUAGGUAGUUGGUGGGGUAAUGGCCUACCAAGCCUACGAUCUAUAGCUGGUUUGAGAGGAUGAUCAGCCACACUGGGACUGAGACACGGCCCAGACUCCUACGGGAGGCAGCAGUAGGGAAUCUUAGACAAUGGGGGCAACCCUGAUCUAGCCAUGCCGCGUGUGUGAUGAAGGCCCUAGGGUCGUAAAGCACUUUCGCCAGAGAUGAUAAUGACAGUAUCUGGUAAAGAAACCCCGGCUAACUCCGUGCCAGCAGCCGCGGUAAUACGGAGGGGGUUAGCGUUGUUCGGAAUUACUGGGCGUAAAGCGCACGUAGGCGGAUUAGUAAGUUAGAGGUGAAAUCCCAGGGCUCAACCCUGGAACUGCCUUUAAUACUGCUAGUCUUGAGUUCGAGAGAGGUAAGUGGAAUUCCGAGUGUAGAGGUGAAAUUCGUAGAUAUUCGGAGGAACACCAGUGGCGAAGGCGGCUUACUGGCUCGAUACUGACGCUGAGGUGCGAAAGUGUGGGGAGCAAACAGGAUUAGAUACCCUGGUAGUCCACACCGUAAACGAUGAAUGCCAGACGUCAGCAAGUAUACUUGUUGGUGUCACACCUAACGGA
rnacentral:rRNA from 1 species